rnacentral:rRNA from 1 species
GAUGAACGCUGGCGGCGUGCCUAAUACAUGCAAGUCGAGCGAAUGGAUUAAGAGCUUGCUCUUAUGAAGUUAGCGGCGGACGGGUGAGUAACACGUGAGUAACCUGCCCAUAAGACUGGGAUAACUCCGGGAAACCGGGGCUAAUCCCGGAUAACAUUUUGAACCGCAUGGUUCGAAAUUGAAAGGCGGCUUGGGCUGUCACUUAUGGAUGGACCCGCGUCGUAUUAGCUAGUUGGGGAGGUAACGGCUCACCAAGGCAACGAUGCGUAGCCGACCUGAGAGGGUGAUCGGCCACACUGGGACUGAGACACGGCCCAGACUCCUACGGGAGGCAGCAGUAGGGAAUCUUCCGCAAUGGACGAAAGUCUGACGGAGCAACGCCGCGUGAGUGAUGAAGGCUUUCGGGUCGUAAAACUCUGUUGUUAGGGAAGAACAAGUGCUAGUUGAAUAAGCUGGCACCUUGACGGUACCUAACCAGAAAGCCACGGCUAACUACGUGCCAGCCGCCGCGGUAA